AGCAGUCGCCGCGGUAAUACGUAGGGUGCGAGCGUUAAUCGGAAUUACUGGGCGUAAAGCGUGCGCAGGCGGUUAUAUAAGACAGUUGUGAAAUCCCCGGGCUCAACCUGGGAACUGCAUCUGUGACUGUAUAGCUAGAGUACGGUAGAGGGGGAUGGAAUUCCGCGUGUAGCAGUGAAAUGCGUAGAUAUGCGGAGGAACACCGAUGGCGAAGGCAAUCCCCUGGACCUGUACCGACGCUCAUGCACGAAAGCGUGGGGAGCAAACAGGAUUAUAUACCCCAUAGUCCCUGUCUCUUAUACC
rnacentral:rRNA from 1 species